UUCAAUUCCCUUUACCCAUGCAGUCAUAUAAGAACUUCAUUUGAAAUGUUUCAGCUCUCCAUGUAAACACAAAGCUUUGGAAGUGUAAUUGAGAUGGCUCAAAAUCUCAGUUUACAAGCAGCUUUCUUGUUCAUCUUCUUUACUAUGGUAUCAGGUAACAUUCUCUACUCUACUAGCCACUUUCUUUAAACUCAAGGAUUCACUGCUAGUAAUAUCUUUAUGUUUGAUGUUUUUGAUAGGGCAAAAUAUUUCCACAACUACAAAAACUUUCACCUUGCUCAACAACUGCAAAGGAACAAUAUGGCCUGGCGUAAUAACAAAAGGUGACAGUAGUCAUGGGGCUGGUUUUACCUUAAAUCCAGGCCAAACUGCCUUCUACAAUGCCCCAACUGGCUGGAGUGGCCGGAUAUGGGCUAGAACUGGCUGCAAUUUUGACAAAAAUGGCACUGGAUCAUGUCAAACAGGCAGCUGUGGCACCUCUCUAAAUUGCUCAGGUCCAAGUAGUCCACCUAACACAAUUGCUGAAUUUACCCUCGGAGAUAUAGAUUUUUACGAUGUUAGCCUUGUAGAUGGGUUUAAUUUGCCUAUAGUAGUUCAGCCUCUUAGUGGUAAAGGGAAUUGUAGCAUUGCUGGCUGUGAUGGAGAUGUUCGGAACAAUUGCCCCACGGAGCUCUCUGUUAGAUCUGAUGGGAAGGUCAUUGCAUGCAGGAGUGCAUGCAAUGUGUUUGAUUCUGAUGAGUACUGCUGUAGAGGGGCAUAUGGUGAUCCUGUGGCAUGUGUACCUUCAAAUUAUUCCAGGGGGUUUAAGCAAGUAUGCCCUGCAGCAUCUAGCUACGCAUUUGAUAGGGAUGCAACAAGCAUCAUAACAUGCUCUGCAUCAGACUAUAUUGUCACCUUCUGCGCAUCACGGAAUCAAAGUUUCUGCAGUUACCAUGACAAUAAGGUCAUGUGCAAUGCAACAAAUAGCUCAAAAGCACUGCCACUACUACCUCAAGGAUGGUGGAAUCUGAUGGUGACAUUGCCCCUGGCAUUUGUCUUGCAAAUCAAAAUUUAGCAGUACAUGCAAUUCUGUGUAUCAUGUGAUUCAUUUUUGAAAUGUUGAGUUUCCCCAUAUAAUGUAUUUUGGUUUUUGGCUUGGUUCUCUCAUAUACGGAAGUGUGAUGUGAUUUACUAGAUGAUGUAACUUCAUAGCUACGAAUCAGAGAAG
rnacentral:misc_RNA from 1 species